AAUAACUAAAAUUUAAAAAGUAAAUAAAAAAGAAAUUUCUUAAUCAGAAGACCUCAAACAUAUCAAAUGUCACUUUGGUCGAUUUCUUUUCUACAGUACCACUUGUUUGCUCCCUUCCUUCUCUGUAAAAUUCUCAAUGUCCUCUCCGAUAGAAAACCUCAAAUCUCUCAAAUCAUAAAAUGUGAACCAUAUGGUAGAGCUAUAAAAGCCCUAAUUACAAAUUGUGACUCUAUCAGGUAUGUGCUCAAAUCUCAAAUCCUUUUUUUUUGGUAAAUGUAUUCUCUAAUUUUACCUCAAAUUUUUCUGACCCAUUUGUAAAUCUAGAGGAACCGACAGUCGUCUAAAGCUAAAGAAGGAAGGAAGAAAGUUUGAAGUUUGAAAAUCAUUGCGAGGGUAAGAUUUUCGAAACCGUCCAAAGUUUUGGGUAUCUUGAGUUCAGUAAUUGUGCAAGAAAAAAGCUUCUUUUAGGUUGAAUUUACCUGGUUUUUUAGUUUUGAAGAUGGAUUCUGUUUCUUUUGAAAUAUUGAGUUUUAAGAAAUUUUCUGAUGUAUAUAAUUUGUAGAAAUGAGCAUUUUUUUUCUUUAUAAUCUCUACUUUAUACACUUAUGAGCAUUGUUCACUUCAGCCAAACAUUCUAGGAUAUUAUUGGAUAUAACUUAUGUCACACUACUUGCGAUGCUGUUAGUUAUUGAUUCUCUUAUAGGGUGUUAUGAAGAUAUAUCUCUGUGUGUUCUAUAUUUAACUGAUCCACUAUAACAAAUGAGAAACAAAAAUAGAUAAUUUAGCAUUAACUUAUGCCGAAAAAGAUGAAACAAAAAGAAGGAACCUGCUCCAUGCUUUUAAAGUGGAUCUUUUCCAGUGUUACAAGUAGCAAAGACUUGUCCUACUUUUUAUUUGAUAGCAUUUCCUAAAUAUAGUUUGAGUGUGCUAUUUGAUUGUGGUGGUGAAAUGUUUGUAUAUUUUUAUCUUUUAUUGGUUUCAAAUGUAUUAUUUGUCAUGGAGAAGUUCAUUUUUGUAUAACAUAAUCAUAGCUUAUAUGACAAAUUAUACAUAGAGGUUUCACUAAUUAAUUAUGAUUGAGGUAUGGUUAGCUAUGUGAGGUUGCUGCAAUGGAGUUCUUAUAUUUCGAGCCUAUUGACUUUUUCUGGUCAUCUUCAGAAGCAAACAAAGCUAGUCCUAGACGAGACAGGAAUUGUUAGCAUUUAUGAUAUUUCUUAGUAGGAAUUACAUCAUCCUUUAUUAUCUAGUUUUUGCGUGUGCUAUAAAUUAAAUGUUAUACUUUGCGGUAGAAAAUGUUAUUUUAUGAAAGUUGAACUUAGUAAAUCAUAGUGGAUUCUAGUUUAAAGUGUCUGACAUACUCAAAAUGUUUUAUGAAAAUAGACUCAAAUUGGAAGAAGAGCGUGAACAAAUGGCUGAGGAGUUACAAAGGAAUAUACAACAUAGUGCAAAGGAAAUUGGAAAAAGAGUUGCAGAAGAAGUUGGAGGCUGAGCAUGAACACGUGAAUGCAGAAGUAGAUAAGAGGAUCUAAGAACAAUUGGCUACUAUCAUAACCAAAAUGCAACAUGUACUGUUAAUAUUUUGUACUCUUCUUGACAAUUGGCUACUAUCUAAGAACAAUUGGCUUCAUGAAUCUAUUUGUUUGAAAUAUAUGUAAUGCUAACAUGAGGUGAUAUGUUACUAGAAUUAUAUGUAGUUUCUCUCUCUGAUUUUGAGGCAUAUCUUAUAUGUAGCUUAUCUUUAAUUUUGAGGCAUCUCAUAUAAAGACAUCUCUUAUAUGUAGCUUCUCUACUGGAAUGAUAGUACAACUCUGUAUGAAAGGUUUGGAUCCCAAUGACAUUGUGUAUAUAAAGAAAUCUUGGUAACAUCCUUCAUGUCAAUCAACACAAAAUUCAUAAGAUAUGCCGCUUACUAUAACAAAUAAUUACAACUAUAUAAAUACAUUUGAAAAUGACUAGAUGAAUUGUCUGUUGCUCAAUCCUUAGCUAAUAUCCUGUGUUUCUUCUUUGAAAUAAUUUAAAAGUGAUAAAAUGGUAUACAGCUGUUACACACUUAUUUAUACUAUAACCUUCUGCAAUAGCCAGCAUUUUGCUCGAGCUACUGCGACUGCUGCUUCCAACAGGUAAUAUGUGCCCUUCUUCUCUCUUAAAAUUAACUUGUUUUUUCAUAGCUUAGCUUCUAAUUCUAAUAUGGGGUUUAUUCUAUUGAACUAAUUAAUUGUCUGAAUCACUCCAAAAGAAUUAAGAGGAAGUGAUUUGCUUGGAUUCUUGAAUUUUUUGUAUUUUAGCUUCCCAAAAUCUUCAAUAAAUUGUCUUAUUUGGGGGUUGAUUUACUAUAGAUUUUGCUGCUGUAUCAAUCUUGAUAGCAGUACUAUAUGUGUGAUAAAUCUUUACUAGAGUUGUGGUUGCGCUUUAAUAAGAUUUUUCAUUUAUUUUUAUUAUUAUUAUUAUUAUUAUUAUUAUUUUGAUGAUGGUGUAUUCAGGCCAGCUAGCAUGUACCUUGAAUUUCAUUGGGUACUUGCUAUCUCAUCAACACAUGUAUCGGGUAACUCUGCUCACCAAGAUUUAGGCCUAUGGAAAAAUAUUUACCCAAUUUUUUUUUUGUUUUCGCUAAGAUUUGAACCUGAGACCUUAUGGUUCUCGUCGCACUUUAUUGACCACUAAAAUCAAAUUCACGAUUUAUGAAGUGACUGCCAAAUGAAUAUAUGAAGGAGGCAAUCUCUUUUGGUUCUGGUUUUAUAGUUUGUCGAUAGAGAAGUAGUUUUAGUUAGUGUAAAAACUUGAUUGGGAAGUAGUUUUAAUUUGUUUUUAAUGAAUGAAAACUGAUUGGAUUACUCCUAUUGUCACAAAGAGUUCUUUUAUACAUCUAUUGAUAUUUAAGUCUAGUGGUGAAAAAAGUUUUUUUAUCGAUGAUUCCACGGAAAUUUCAUAUUAUCUUCUACCUACGCGUGAGAUAAUUCUACUGGUCUUUGCUUGUGAGUUACCACUGUCGUUCUACGGUUGUUUCUUCAGAGAUUUAUAGAAGUGCGUUGUCCUUAACAUUGGUAACCUGGUGUACAUUUCAACCUAGAGACAUGAGUUCUAAUUUUCUACUUAUUAUAUAGUUGAACUCACAUUUCUUUGCUCAGACAACUGCUCAUGACUAGGAUACCUUUCUACUACAUGAACUUUUGUAGUAUUUAAAAAUUUGAAAUCUAUUGGUAUGAAAUCUCCUCUUACAACCAAAAUGUCUCCGUCAAAAUAGACCGUAAGUGAUAUUGAACCAUUAAUAACAUACAUAUCAUACCCAUUUGACAUGGAAGUGUCAAACCAGGUGAUGAGUAAAUGUACUAAAAAAUCAAAGGUGAAGCUAGUUCUAAAGGUAUUCUGAUGACAAGACGAUAAGAGGCUUGGUUGCUGCUAAUUCUUAAGAUCUACAUUCUCCUGUUUUACUCCACUUCUUAUAUUUCAUGGAUGUAUUUCCUUUUUUGGUAGUGAGGCGUAGGUUGGUUUGGUUUUAUUGAUAUAUACUCAUUUAUGUUUGAUUAGUUUUAAUUUUGUGGGAAGACAAUAGCAUUUAUAUUUGGAACUCAGCUUAUGGCAUACAACUCAAGAUAAACUAGUAAGAGUUCAGGUUAUUAUGUACACAGUUCGUAACAACAGAAAAAAUGGUUUUGGAUGACUAAAUGCUAUUUUCCCACUAUAUUAUGUUGACAAGAGUGGGUUGCUCUAGUGGUGAGUACCCUCCACUUCCAACCAAGAUGUUGUGAGUUUGAGUUCCCCCAAGAAUAAGGUGAGGAGUUCUUGGAGAGAGGGAUGCCGAAGGUCUAUUGAAAACAGUCUCUCUACCCUAGGGUAGGGGUAAGGUCUGCGUACACUCUAUCCUCCCCAGACCCUGGGGUUAUACUGGGUUGUUGUUGUUGUUGUUGUUGUUACAAUGUGGGAAGUAGGAAAUUAUACUUGUUCAAGUGUCAUUGGCAGGAUGUGGCUCACUUAGGAAGAGAAAAAUAAGAUUGACAAAUAUGGCUUCAGAAGUAUGAAUACUCAUGCCUUGAAUACAAAUGAGCCAUUUGUGUUGGCAUCACUGGCUUGUAAUUUUGUGUGUUCAUGUGGGAAUAGGUGUUUGAACGACGCUAUGAAGUGUUUGAUAAAAUGACCGAGAAAAGUGGGGUUUUAUUCUACUACCACUUUGAGAAAGCAAAACUAUUUAUGAUAUUAUUUAUGUGGAAAUGCAAAAGUGUCUUUUAACUUAUAACUGUAACGUCCAUAUAACUAAAUAGUUCAUCUUAUUGGAAUUUUUGUUCUUUGUUGGAUUUUGAUCUUGUAUUUUUUCCUCUUGAUAACAGGGAGAAGAUUUCUGAACAAUCACAAAUGGCGAUGAUCAAGGAGUUUGAACACAUUUAAUGUUUAGUUUUUUCUUUUAUUUUUAGUCGAAAGGCGUCGACCAAGGAGUAGUUCAAAGCGUGAAGACACUUAAUGUAUUAUUUUUCCUUUUUCAUGUGUAAAUGCAUAUAAUGGCAAUAAAUAAGAAAGUAUUGGGCAGUGUAUUAGCUAAUUGACCAUAUAGUAAUGAAAGUAUUUAUAGUAUUUGUGUUGAGAAAUA
rnacentral:lncRNA from 1 species